rnacentral:rRNA from 1 species
GGUGAACGCUGGCGGUAGGCCUAACACAUGCAAGUCGAACGGCAGCACAGUAAGAGCUUGCUCUUACGGGUGGCGAGUGGCGGACGGGUGAGGAAUACAUCGGAAUCUACUUUUUCGUGGGGGAUAACGUAGGGAAACUUACGCUAAUACCGCAUACGACCUACGGGUGAAAGCAGGGGAUCUUCGGACCUUGCGCGAUUGAAUGAGCCGAUGUCGGAUUAGCUAGUUGGCGGGGUAAAGGCCCACCAAGGCGACGAUCCGUAGCUGGUCUGAGAGGAUGAUCAGCCACACUGGAACUGAGACACGGUCCAGACUCCUACGGGAGGCAGCAGUGGGGAAUAUUGGACAAUGGGCGCAAGCCUGAUCCAGCCAUACCGCGUGGGUGAAGAAGGCCUUCGGGUUGUAAAGCCCUUUUGUUGGGAAAGAAAAGCAGCAGGUUAAUACCUCGCUGUUCUGACGGUACCCAAAGAAUAAGCACCGGCUAACUUCGUG